UACGAAGGUGGCAAGCGUUGUUCGGAUUUACUGGGCGUAAAGGGAGCGUAGGUGGUGCGGUAAGCCUUCCGGGAAAGCUUCAGGCUUAACCUGAAAAGGCCGGGGAGACUGCCACGCUGGAGGGGAGCAGAGGCGAGUGGAAUUCCGGGUGUAGUGGUGAAAUGCGUAGAGAUCCGGAGGAACACCAGUGGCGAAGGCGGCUCGCUGGGCUCUACCUGACGCUGAGGCGCGAAAGCGUGGGGAGCGAACCGG
rnacentral:rRNA from 1 species